GAAAACAACAAAACCCCCAGCAGGUGAUCUGUAUGUAAACACAGCACACCCGCUCAGCCUGGUAGAGAAGGUGUUAUUUUUCUUACUGCUUUCUCUGUAGAUAUUGGCUUGUUCACAAAUCUUACAGCAACCCGCAGCUGUGGCAUUAAACAGGUGAGGAGAAUAAGGUUUUUUCUUAUUGAUCUGGGGAUGGUUUCAUUUGUAAGCGAAAGGGCAGCUGUCAAUAGACGACGUGAUCUAGAGAAAUCCUAAGCACGUGAGCGCUCCGGAGCAAGCCCGGGACUCGGGGCUGUUGAAUCAGGGCCAGCAGCCCAAACCAGGCUUUAUUUCACAUCACGUCAUAACUAUUGCAUCAGAGGGAAGAAUUAUUAAAUGGGAGGAUAGAGAGGGAAGAAAAAGAGCAAACGUCUGUUUCUUGUCCAAUAAUGUCAGCGCUAUAUUUAUAAAAAUGAAACAAGGCUAAUCUUCAUUCUUCUGUGCUUCUCAGGGAGCCCUGUCUACAUUGUCUGUUUUGUUUAGGUUCCACAGUCUUCACCGCAGAGAUUAUCUGUAUUUUGUGCCUUGUAGAGUGCUGGGCACUUUUUAUGUAAUAGUAAUAACCUAUAAAAUACACAAAUAAAAAGGUUGGAGCGAGCAGUGAUGGUGCAGAAUUGUUUCUGCCUGAAAAGAAGAGCAACAUCCAGCGAGAUAGCUGCUUAUUUUGAUAAUAAAAUACGCGUGUGCAUUCACAUGCAGAUAUAUAUGUAUGUAUAUAAGUGCGUGCAGUCGGCAAAGGGAGUCAAGGAGGGAAUAAGUUGAUGGCAUCAGUGUGUGUGUGGCACCUCAGCAUCACAUGCGGUCCCCUGGCCCAGGCAGAGCCCUCCGCCCGCCGCUGCAGGGGCAGCGUGCAGGAGAUGAGGAGUGACAGCCCAUCAGGGCGGCAGGAUCAGCCCGCUGCGGAAGGGAAACUGAAGCGGGGUGUCAGCUCCAAUUGUCUUUAUCCCGUUCAGGGAACAGGGCUGGGUGAUGCAAAGCAGCAGCAGGAAGAAAGGAGGCCGGGACAUCUGGGGACUAAUCCCCCAUCCCCCAGGGAUGCUGCACCCGUGCAGGAUCUUGGCUGAUCCCUGCAUUGCUCCUAGCCCCGCUCUCCUCCAUCCGGCACCCAAGGGUGACGGUUGCCCCCCAUUGGGGUGCCUGGAGGGAGCUCUGGAGAAAGAGGGGCGGCAGGAGGGUUGUGCUGCGUGCUGAGACCGGGCAGCACGCGGGGAGCCGGGGAGGGCUGGGAGGGCAAGGCCUAUAAUCCCCUCGGUAAAUCCACGCCUGAACUAUAAAAGGAUAAUCCAUGUGCAACCCUGGCCCCACUUACAGGAUUUAGCUCUUAGUGUGGAAUACUAAUAUUUGGCUGUUUGUUUACCCCUGUGAACUAAUUUGGCAGAUUCUUAUGAUUCUCACAGGGAGAAUUUAUUUCGAUUUUGAUAUUACUCAAAGCCUUGGGUCCUGGAGUCAUAGGAUUAUAUGCAAAGCUCUGAGCAGACUUUUUUAAUCCUUUUUCUUAAGAAAUAACUAUUUGUUGUGGAUGCGGCAAAAAGCUUGAAAGCUGGCCUGCUGUUCCACAGCACAAUGGCAUCAGAAAAGAAGCCACUUGCUAAUUCCUUUUUCCCUUUUUCCUUUUUCUCUUUUCUUUUUUUUUUUUUUUUUUUUUUAAACAUGGUGAUUUUUAAGCCAGUUUUGCAACUGUGAGCGGUGAAUGGGGAUCAAGCCCAUGAUUCCGAGGAGUCAGCACGGCCAAGCCAGGCUCUGUCUGCAGAUUCCCACUGCUACGGUGGCUCCCGGUGCCUCCUCCUAACCCAGCAACACUGCUUGGGGACAUCGGGAUCAUGGGCAGACACAGGGUCCUUCGCACUCAAAUAACGCACAGCCUUUGGAGGGGGGUGGGGGGGAGUCAGGAAGAAAACCGUCAAGUGUUAGGAUCAGGAAUUCAGCCCUCAAUUAAAAAGUAACUUUCUAACCUCGGACAAUGCAGAGAAUGGCUUUAAAAUGUGACACACGCAGCCCCUUAAAACAGAGAGACAGUAAAAGAAUCCCAGCUAUGUUAUUUUUAUAAUCUUGGUGGUUUGUGGGCUUGCUCUUUGAUUUUCGAACGGUGUAAUUUGAAUGCAUGAGGGAAGACGUGUUUGGGUUUGGGUUUGUUUUUGUUUUUUUAAUGCAAAAAGCAGCAUUCGUUGCAAAGCGUAAAGGAGCGGGAUGAAAAUCACGGUUCCCUCUGAACGUCUUUGUGAGCGUUCCUCUCCCAGCGCCCUGAAAGAAAUUAAAGGCUGCGAGCAUAAUCCCAACCACAAACAGGGCAAGCCGGGAUGUUUCCUAAAUACUCGAGUCCCAAUUUAGGGAAAGAACGAUUUUUAAUUCUGCACCCAAAAUUAUUUCUUCUGAGAUGAUUGAAGCGCCCGCCUGAUGGGGGAGAGCUGCAGAAGGGCUCCACAAGCCGGGGCCUGGAGGACAAAGCUGGCAGUGAAAUAACAAAACUUAUCGCAACACGAGAGUUCUCUCCCUUAGUGGAAACGGAGGCAGUUCCUAAAAAGCAAACCUUUGUAAAUCAGGCAAACGAGACAGGCAGAUGAGAAUCACAGCAGACAGCGGAAAUGAGGCACAAAUAAUUUAAAUUAUUCGCACGUUGUGAAACUUUGCAGGACGAAGGAGAGAGCGCGAAAUCCGGCUGCGUAAAUCAGGGACGCCGCCAGCGUCUGUGCUAACAGUUGAAGCUGGAAUCCUGGGGGGCCGGAGGGAAAGCUUAUAGAGGACGCACGUGCAGCGCAGUGACGGGAGUGAAGAGCCCUCAACAUUUACCAAAACUGGGGAAAAAACAUACUACAUGCGAGAUGGGAAGGGAUCUGUUUGCUUAGUUUAUUAACAAGGUCCAGGGGCGACUUGCUUCUGCACAUGCACUUCUUCCUAGGGAAGAAAUAUCAGGUACCGAAGAACUCUCUAAUCUCCCAGAGAAAGCCGUAACAAGAACUGACGGAUAAAUGCCGAAGCCAGACAAGUCCCAAUUAAAAAAUAAAGAAGGGAACUAUUUUUAUUUGCUUUAUUUUGUACAAGGAAGUCGGGGCAAUGAAGCAUUUGAGCCGGCUGUUACAGGAAGUGCUGGAGUCUCCCUGUCUCAGCCUCUUUGGAUAAAGACUUGUGUUCCUUCUGGGAGCACAGCUUGACUCACACAACUUAUUGUACGCUGCUGAGGGGCAGCAGGGUGAAUGUCUGUGGCCCACAUUACGCAGACAGUCCAAUAAAAU
rnacentral:lncRNA from 1 species